rnacentral:ncRNA from 2 species
CUCAUACGCUUGGGGUGUCCCUGACGGGGCUGAGAGGCGCGACAGCGUCAACCCAUCGAACCUGAACCGGGUCAUGCCGGCGGAGGGAAGGGUAGAGUGGAACAG